AUUGAACGCUGGCGGCAGGCCUAACACAUGCAAGUCGAACGAGUGGCGGACGGGUGAGUAAUGUCUGGGCACCUGCCUGAUGGAGGGGGAUAACUACUGGAAACGGUAGCUAAUACCGCAUACCAUCGGAUGUGCCCAGAUGGGCGUAGCUAGUAGGUGGGGUAACGGCUCACCUAGGCGACGAUCCCUAGCCGGUCUGAGAGGAUGACCGGCACAACGGGAACUAAGACACGGUCCAUACGCCUACGUGAGGCAGCAGUGGGGAAUAUUGGACAAUGGGCGCAAGCCUGAUGGCGCAAUGCCGCGUGUAUGAAGAAGGCCGUCGGGUUGUAAAGUACUUUCAGCGGGGAAGCGUUACCCGCAGAGGAAGCAACGGCUAACUCCGUGCCAGCAGCCGCGGUAAUUC
rnacentral:rRNA from 1 species